UACAAAAACUAAUGAAUACGAUUCACCAGAACUGGGGCUAUUUAUACCGGAAAACCCAUAUAUUAAUGCCCAAGGGCUGACCAAUCGGAAGCUAUAGGAUCGGUAUAUGGACAGCGGAAAUUGUCGGCCAAUAGAAAUCGUACAAAUCAAGUGACAAUACCAAAAACAGGGGAAGUAACCGCUUAUGGACACCGGAUGCUAGGCAACCAGGAUAAUUGUACUGGAUUGACCAAAACAGAACACUCUAUACGGACCAUAGAAUAGAUAAGUUCCUAUAUACGAAAUGGGGGCGAAUACCCUAUAUACGGAUAUACUACAUUGGUAUCAUUGGAGGAAAGUGCAGUUUUUUGAUUGGAACUUUACAUAUGUGAAAUAUGGAUUCAUUAUAUAAAAUUGGGUACUCUUUCUAACCCCCAACCAAGAUAUGUGGGAUAUGUAUAUAUAAUAUAUAUAGACCCACCAAUUGUAUAGUCAUUUUCCUACAGAGGUGUGUGGGGCUGGGUAAUGAAUUUUAAGUUCGACAUUAGACUAAUAACCAGGCGUUCGAAAUGGGCACAAGAACUGCAGUUUUCUUGCAGCUAUAUGCGUUUCCGAUGGAACUUCAGCUGAUGUUUUCACAUUAUGCAUAUUUCAAAAGCUGAAUAAAGGGAUCAUCAAAGGAGUGAGCUAGCGAAGUUAAGGCAAAAGGGGGCGGAACCCGUUUGUCUAAGAUAGCAAAUCGUUUAACUAUUGAUAGAGCAAUCGCCCUUAUACACCCCCUCGACUAAAUGCCUGUGAAAUGCAACAAAUUGCGCUGACCUGGACAAAUAUCAUUAAGGGGGUCGAUCCACCAUAUCGCCAAUGACGAUGACGUGGCAUUAGACAGGGCAUUCAUUAUACCAAAGGUUCCUCUGACGUCCAUGCAUUAUUCAGGCAAAUUGCAAUAAUUUUAAAACUCCACAGUCCUUCCAAGAUGAACUCCCCCAAGACAUGUGCAUGUUCCACAUCAAGAAUGGGGCCACCCAAUCUAAUAACUAAUGAAACUCUGGGAGUAUUAACAGCCGUUCCCAACGGGUUGGUAAACUAAUUAUAGGGUAAUUUCUGUGACAGCGUUCCUAGACAAAUAAAAUUUAGAAACCCUUAUAAUACCCGAUGAAGAGCAAUUUAAGAAUGGAAAUGGACUGCAGAUUGCUUCCGUCCUUAUCAGCACCUUCUAAUUGCAGUUUGUUUGUGGUCAGAUGGACGAUGGGAGAACUUUUUCCAGCCGCAAUUUUCACAGCUUCCCAGGAGCAAGGACUGCAAGUUAGGCCCAGGGUAACAAAGAGAAAAGAGAAAGGGGUUGGAAGGAGAAAGUUAGCAGGCUGCUUGCAUUCCUGAAAGUGACAUAAAUGACAGCUUUUGACAGCGCACACGCGUCCAACCAACCGCCCACCACCCACCUCCCAAACUCCACCCAUCCAGGAACCCCAACAACAAUAAAGGACAAUAAUUUAAGUUGCUCGGCCAGGUGAGCGCUUGAAACUUCUUUUUUUUCGUGCAUGUAUCCCCUCAGGCCAAUACACUAAUACGCAGGUGGGCUGGCUGACCACAAAAACGCAAACACAACAACUACAGUGGCGGGAAAGAAAAUAAAAUAAAGGCAAAAGGGGAACAGUUGGAGAGUUUAUGUCCAGCGAGACGUGGCAAGCCACAUGAAAACGCGGUUUGUGGCUACCCACCAAAAGCGAAAAAAAACGGGAAAGAAAGUUUACCUCAGCACACUGAAGUUGGUAUACCCUCGCUGAUAUAACAAAACAUGUAAUUCCCAUUAUAGUUAGUUUCUAAAGACAUAAUACCAUGGACUACCUAAGAAUCAACAUUCAAACUUUUAUCAAAUUUUUACCGAAAGUCGAUUAAAACUUUCGAAAACUACAUUUUAUUUGUAUUUCAUCUUUACAAUUUUAAAUGAAUAUGGCAAAUAUACGCUUAUGUUUUUAAAAACUGAAGGUAGAAGAACUUCCUUGUUAGUAAAUGUCUCAUAAAGGUCUCAAACUGCAAUACUGCAACUAACCAAAAUUUCAUUAGGUUUUUGCCAAUUGCGUAAAUCUGAAAAGGACGCGUGGCCUUUAUUUAAAUCAAGCAUACAAAUUACGUUAGUGACAUUUAGAAAACCAUUAUCUGAGAGCAUAAUAUAUAUUUAGAUCACAAUAAAAGUCCGGCAUGACUAUAUUUACUAUUGACGCUGACGGGUAGUUUUAUAUUGAUAAACUUAAGAAUUCCGCCAGAAUUUUCUUAAAAUUAUAAUUAAUUAAACAAUGACCUUUACGUUUUAAGAACCAUCCUUUCCCUUUCACCCAAAAAGGUGUUGAUCCCUAUGUUGAUCCGAGUAUUUUAUUAGUUUUUAUUAUCAAAACAUGUCAAAUGAUUGACAUCCAGGUAAAAAUUCUGGAUUUAAAAAUGUUUUUUUUUUUAAUAUACAAAAAGAUUGUUCUUAAAAUUCUUAAAGUGUCAUCUCUAUUAAUUUUACAUCGCCCUGCAUCAGGGAUCAUUUGUUAAAUACAAUGACGUUAAACAAAUCUGAAGUACAUUAGCAGAUGUCAAUGCAAACCCCAUAAGAGAAACCAACAAAAAUAUAUGAAACACCAAAAAUUAAAGUAUUGUAAUGGGAUAAAUGCUUAAAUAAAUAAAUUUUUCAAUGUCUCAAGUUGAUCCUGUUAUUAUCAAUUUUCUAAGUUUACAUCUUAAAAUCUCUACCAAAAAUGACUAACCUAUAUGAAAAUGCGAUUGGUAUUUAAACUGGUAAUGAUAAAAAUUUAAAGAAAUGCCAUCUAAUGUUUAAUUUAUAGAAAUGUCAUAUAACAUUCGUGACCGCUUUUAUCUGUCACGUGUGUGUGUUCACGCCUAAAGCCGUCCUGUCUCCUCGCCCAUCCUGGCCAUGCUUUUCGCCGGCGUAAUUGGGUGGUGGGUGUAUGCGUUUCAACUCUAUAAUUUAGCGGAAAAACAGCUAAUGGACGUCAUGUCUAACCAAAAAAAAAAAAAAAAAGAAAAGUUAUAGGAAAAAAAAGAGCCCGCAACCAGAGGAAGGAAUCAGGUUGAGGAUAUGACCACAAAAGUUGGGGGACACAAGCGGAAAUGCAUACAAUUGACAAUUCUCAUCGCCCUCGCGCUGCGUGUGUAUUUGUAUGUCCUGUUUGUGCUUUGUGGCCUGUCCACUUCAAGGCUUUUAUGGACAUGUCAGCGUGCUUAGCGAGCAGACUGAACCCACCAACUUCUCCCAUCGCGUGUGGCCGUACAAAUCGGGCGGAUGGGGUAUAAUGGGGAGUUCAGCUGGUCCCUGCGCUAAUAACUAAUGUGCUUAUGGCGUGUGCCAUGUAGUGGUUGCUGCUCUGCUGCUCUAUCCCAUGGUAUUCUAUUCUAGUCCUGUGCUGUUGGGCUCUGCUCUGUCGUCCUGCUAUGUUCCCGGCCAACUUCUACAGUCUGAUUGCUAUACUUCGACUUGUCUUUGGGUGGUACACAAAAAGAAAUGAUCUCAAUGAUAUAAUUUAUUCAGAAAUAUAUUCAUAUUUAUUUAAAACCAAAACGAUAAUAUAAUAACUAGACUAUUAUAUAGUCUUAUCUUUUGAAAGCUCUAAUUACUGUAGAAAUAACAUGUUUAUAACUAUAUCAUUACAAUUAUGAAUCAAUGCACACUCAAAACCAAUACAACAUUUAAAAUUUUCUUAUCUAUAUUUAGAACAUAUAUUGAGAUAUUGAGCUUAAGCCGGCUGAAGUACAUAACAUCCUGAACUAAUUUCAAAUAAGCAAAACUGGUAUAAUAAUAAUAUAUGCAAUCAUUUAAAGUCCCAGAUAUCUUUUAGUGUACUCCACCCCUUCACCAUCGGUCAACCCCUAAAGUUGUUGCAUUAUUAAAAGGCUUCGAUUGAAAAGUACUUUUCUUUCUUCCCAACCAUCCUCCAUACCCAACUCCAUUCUUCAUGCUUUCUUUUAUUGCUUCGGUAUUAUCUAUUUCUGCGUUUGUCAACUGCAUCUCUCGGCAAUCCAUCGCCAGCUAAUUAAUUGGAAAUACAAGAAUUGAAUUGUGCAACAGAAAUACCAGUCAAGGUUUGAAAAUCAAUAAAACUGGCUUGAAUAUGAAACGUG